UACGUAGGGGGCUAGCAUUGUCCGGAAUCAUUGGGCGUAAAGAGCGUGUAGGCGGCUCGGUAAGUCCGCUGUAAAAGUCAAAGGCUCAACCUUUGAAUGUCAGUGGAUACUGCCGGGCUAGAGUCCGGAAGAGGCGAGUGGAACUCCUGGUGUAGCGGUGGAAUGCGCAGAUAUCAGGAAGAACACCGACGGCGAAGGCAGCUCGCUGGGACGGUACUGACGCUGAGACGCGAAAGCGUGGGGAGCGAACAGG
rnacentral:rRNA from 1 species